rnacentral:rRNA from 1 species
GGGUUGUGAGGUUAAGCGACUAAGCGUACACGGUGGAUGCCCUGGCAGUCAGAGGCGAUGAAGGACGUGCUAAUCUGCGAAAAGCGUCGGUAAGGUGAUAUGAACCGUUAUAACCGGCGAUGUCCGAAUGGGGAAACCCAGUGUGAUUCGUCACACUAUCGUUAACUGAAUACAUAGGUUAACGAGGCGAACCGGGGGAACUGAAACAUCUAAGUACCCCGAGGAAAAGAAAUCAACCGAGAUUCCCCCAGUAGCGGCGAGCGAACGGGGAGCAGCCCAGAGUCUGAAUCAGCUUGUGUGUUAGUGGAACGGUCUGGAAAGUCCGACGGUACAGGGUGAUAGUCCCGUACACCAAAAUGCACAGGUUGUGAACUCGAAGAGUAGGGCGGGACACGUGGUAUCCUGUCUGAAUAUGGGGGGACCAUCCUCCAAGGCUAAAUACUCCUGACUGACCGAUAGUGAACCAGUACCGUGAGGGAAAGGCGAAAAGAACCCCGGCGAGGGGAGUGAAAAAGAACCUGAAACCGUGUACGUACAAGCAGUGGGAGCACCUUCGGGUGUGACUGCGUACCUUUUGUAUAAUGGGUCAGCGACUUAUAUUCUGUAGCAAGGUUAACCGUAUAGGGGAGCCGCAGGGAAACCGAGUCUUAACUGGGCGUUAAGUUGCAGGGUAUAGACCCGAAACCCGGUGAUCUAGCCAUGGGCAGGUUGAAGGUUGGGUAACACUAACUGGAGGACCGAACCGACUAAUGUUGAAAAAUUAGCGGAUGACUUGUGGCUGGGGGUGAAAGGCCAAUCAAACCGGGAGAUAGCUGGUUCUCCCCGAAAGCUAUUUAGGUAGCGCCUCGUGAACUCAUCUUCGGGGGUAGAGCACUGUUUCGGCUAGGGGGUCAUCCCGACUUACCAACCCGAUGCAAACUACGAAUACCGAAGAAUGUUAUCACGGGAGACACACGGCGGGUGCUAACGUCCGUCGUGAAGAGGGAAACAACCCAGACCGCCAGCUAAGGUCCCAAAGUCAUGGUUAAGUGGGAAACGAUGUGGGAAGGCACAGACAGCCAGGAUGUUGGCUUAGAAGCAGCCAUCAUUUAAAGAAAGCGUAAUAGCUCACUGGUCGAGUCGGCCUGCGCGGAAGAUGUAACGGGGCUAAACCAUGCACCGAAGCUGCGGCAGCGACACUAUGUGUUGUUGGGUAGGGGAGCGUUCUGUAAGCCUGCGAAGGUGUGCUGUGAGGCAUGCUGGAGGUAUCAGAAGUGCGAAUGCUGACAUAAGUAACGAUAAAGCGGGUGAAAAGCCCGCUCGCCGGAAGACCAAGGGUUCCUGUCCAACGUUAAUCGGGGCAGGGUGAGUCGACCCCUAAGGCGAGGCCGAAAGGCGUAGUCGAUGGGAAACAGGUUAAUAUUCCUGUACUUGGUGUUACUGCGAAGGGGGGACGGAGAAGGCUAUGUUAGCCGGGCGACGGUUGUCCCGGUUUAAGCAUGUAGGCUGGUUAUCCAGGCAAAUCCGGAUAAUCAAGGCUGAGGUGUGAUGACGAGGCACUACGGUGCUGAAGUAACAAAUGCCCUGCUUCCAGGAAAAGCCUCUAAGCAUCAGGUAACAUCAAAUCGUACCCCAAACCGACACAGGUGGUCAGGUAGAGAAUACCAAGGCGCUUGAGAGAACUCGGGUGAAGGAACUAGGCAAAAUGGUGCCGUAACUUCGGGAGAAGGCACGCUGGUGUGUAGGUGAAGCCCCUGCGGGUGGAGCUGAGACCAGUCGAAGAUACCAGCUGGCUGCAACUGUUUAUUAAAAACACAGCACUGUGCAAACACGAAAGUGGACGUAUACGGUGUGACGCCUGCCCGGUGCCGGAAGGUUAAUUGAUGGGGUUAUCCGUAAGGAGAAGCUCUUGAUCGAAGCCCCGGUAAACGGCGGCCGUAACUAUAACGGUCCUAAGGUAGCGAAAUUCCUUGUCGGGUAAGUUCCGACCUGCACGAAUGGCGUAAUGAUGGCCAGGCUGUCUCCACCCGAGACUCAGUGAAAUUGAACUCGCUGUGAAGAUGCAGUGUACCCGCGGCAAGACGGAAAGACCCCGUGAACCUUUACUAUAGCUUGACACUGAACAUUGAGCCUUGAUGUGUAGGAUAGGUGGGAGGCUUUGAAGCGUGGACGCCAGUCUGCGUGGAGCCAACCUUGAAAUACCACCCUUUAAUGUUUGAUGUUCUAACGUUGGCCCCUUACCGGGGUUGCGGACAGUGUCUGGUGGGUAGUUUGACUGGGGCGGUCUCCUCCCAAAGCGUAACGGAGGAGCACGAAGGUUAGCUAAUCCUGGUCGGACAUCAGGAGGUUAGUGCAAUGGCAUAAGCUAGCUUGACUGCGAGCGUGACGGCGCGAGCAGGUGCGAAAGCAGGUCAUAGUGAUCCGGUGGUUCUGAAUGGAAGGGCCAUCGCUCAACGGAUAAAAGGUACUCCGGGGAUAACAGGCUGAUACCGCCCAAGAGUUCAUAUCGACGGCGGUGUUUGGCACCUCGAUGUCGGCUCAUCACAUCCUGGGGCUGAAGUAGGUCCCAAGGGUAUGGCUGUUCGCCAUUUAAAGUGGUACGCGAGCUGGGUUUAGAACGUCGUGAGACAGUUCGGUCCCUAUCUGCCGUGGGCGCUGGAGAAUUGAGGGGGGCUGCUCCUAGUACGAGAGGACCGGAGUGGACGCAUCACUGGUGUUCGGGUUGUCAUGCCAAUGGCACUGCCCGGUAGCUAAAUGCGGAAGAGAUAAGUGCUGAAAGCAUCUAAGCACGAAACUUGCCCCGAGAUGAGUUCUCCCUGAGACUUUAAGUCUCCUGAAGGAACGUUAAAGACGAUGACGUUGAUAGGCCGGGUGUGUAAGCGCAGCGAUGCGUUGAGCUAACCGGUACUAAUGAACCGUGAGGCUUAACCUUACAACGCCGAAG